AGCAGCCGCGGUAAUUCCAGCUCCAAUAGCGUAUAUUAAAGUUGUUGCAGUUAAAAAGCUCGUAGUUGAAUUUCGGGAUCAAUACGUCGGUCGUGCCUCCGGUACGUACUGGUGUUGUUGAAUUCUCCCUUCUGAUGAACCACGAUGUCAUUAAUUUGGUGUUGUGGGGAGUCAGGACUGUUACUUUGAAAAAUUAGAGUGUUUAAAGCAGGCAAACGCUUGAAUACAUUAGCAUGGAAUAAUGAAAUAGGACGUUCGAACCUAUUUUGUUGGUUUCUAGGAUCAACGUAAUGAUUAAUAGGGAUAGUUGGGGGCAUUAGUAUUCAAUUGUCAGAGGUGAAAUUCUUGGAUUUAUUGAAGACUAACUACUGCGAAAGCAUUUGCCAAGGAUGUUUUCAUUAAUCAAGAACGAAAGUUAGGGGAUCGAAGACGAUCAGAUACCGUCGUAGUCUUAACCAUAAACU
rnacentral:rRNA from 1 species